UACGGGGGGGGCAAGCGUUGUUCGGAAUUACUGGGCGUAAAGGGCGCGUAGGCGGCCUGUUAAGUCGAACGUGAAAUCCCCGGGCUCAACCCGGGAACUGCGUCCGAUACUGGUAGGCUUGAAUCCGGGAGAGGGAUGCGGAAUUCCAGGUGUAGCGGUGAAAUGCGUAGAUAUCUGGAGGAACACCGGUGGCGAAGGCGGCAUCCUGGACCGGCAUUGACGCUGAGGCGCGAAAGCCAGGGGAGCAAACGGG
rnacentral:rRNA from 1 species